AACGAACGCUGGCGGCAGGCCUAACACAUGCAAGUCGAGCGAGGACUUCGGUCCUAGCGGCGGACGGGUGAGUAACGCGUGGGGACGUGCCCUUUGCUACGGAAUAGCCCUGGGAAACUGGGAGUAAUACCGUAUGUGCCCUUCGGGGGAAAGAUUUAUCGGCAAAGGAUCGGCCCGCGUUGGAUUAGGUAGUUGGUGGGGUAAUGGCCUACCAAGUCGACGAUCCAUAGCUGGUUUGAGAGGAUGAUCAGCCACACUGGGACUGAGACACGGCCCAGACUCCUACGGGAGGCAGCAGUGGGGAAUCUUAGACAAUGGGGGAAACCCUGAUCUAGCCAUGCCGCGUGAACGAUGAAGGCCUUAGGGUUGUAAAGCUCUUUCAGUGGGGAAGAUAAUGACGGUACCCACAGAAGAAGCCCCGGCUAACUCCGUGCCAGCCGCCGCGGUAACAC
rnacentral:rRNA from 1 species